GCUUUUCUGUGGCUUAGUCUGUAGAGCACGGCUCUGUCAUUUCCAAGGUCUUAGGUUCGGACCCCAGGGGAGGCA